rnacentral:rRNA from 1 species
CAGGCCUUGACAUCCAAUGAACUUUCCAGAGAUGGAUUGGUGCCUUCGGGAACAUUGAGACAGGUGCUGCAUGGCUGUCGUCAGCCCGUGUCGUGAGAUGUUGGGUUAAGUCCCGUAACGAGCGCAACCCUUGUCCUUAGUUACCAGCACGUAAUGGUGGGCACUCUAAGGAGACUGCCGGUGACAAACCGGAGGAAGGUGGGGAUGACGUCAAGUCAUCACGGCCCUUACGGCCUGGGCUACACACGUGCUACAAUGGUCGGUACAAAGGGUUGCCAAGCCGCGAGGUGGAGCUAAUCCCAUAAAACCGAUCGUAGUCCGGAUCGCAGUCUGCAACUCGACUGCGUGAAGUCGGAAUCGCUAGUAAUCGCGGAUCAGAAUGUCGCGGCGAAUACGUUCCC